rnacentral:rRNA from 1 species
AUCAUAAACGACUCUCGGCAACGGAUAUCUCGGCUCACGCAUCGAUGAAGAACGUARCAAAAUGCGAUACUUGGUGUGAAUUGCARAAUCCCGUGAACCAUCGAGUUUUUGAACGCAAGUUGCGCCCGAAGCCAUCCGGCCAAGGGCACGCCUGCCUGGGCGUCACGC